UGUGCACACGGACAUGCACAGGCUUCCAGGAGAGCCAAGACAUCGCAAGACGCGAUUCAUCAGAAGAUGUUUNGGACAAGCAGACUACGAAAUUUUGGCGGUUCAACCGCCCUUUUUUG
rnacentral:sRNA from 13 species